GCAUAGCUCAGUCAGUAGAGCAUGAGACUCUAGUUUUAGGGUCAUGGGUUCAAGCCCCACAUUGGACA